UACGUAGGGUGCAAGCGUUGCCCGGAAUCAUUGGGCGUAAAGCGCGCGCAGGCGGAUCAGCAAGUCAGAUGUGAAAUCUCGAAGCUCAACUUCGAAACUGCGUCUGAAACUGCUAGUCUAGAAUGUCGGAGGGGGCAGGGGAAUUUCACGUGUAGGGGUAAAAUCCGUAGAGAUGUGAAGGAACACCGGAGGCGAAGGCGCCUGCCUGGACGACUAUUGACGCUGAGGCGCGAAAGCGUGGGGAGCAAACAGG
rnacentral:rRNA from 1 species